rnacentral:rRNA from 1 species
UGAGGAAUAUUGGGCAAUGCCCGCAAGGGUGACCCAGCAACGCCGCGUGGAGGAUGAAUGUCGUAAGAUUGUAAACUCCUGUUAGAGGGGAAGAAUAGUACCGGUUGGACCGGUAUAUGACUGUACCCUCAGAGAAAGCCCCGGCUAACUACGUGCCAGCAGCCGCGGUAAUACGUAGGGGGCAAGCGUUGUCCGGAUUUACUGGGUGUAAAGGGCGCGCAGGCGGGAUAAAAAGUCAGUUGUGAAAUCCUACAGCUUAACUGUAGAACUGCCUUUGAUACUUUUAUUCUUGAGUUCGGGAGAGAGAGACGGAAUUCCAGGUGUAGUGGUGAAAUACGUAGAUAUCUGGAAGAACACCAGUUGCGAAGGCGGUCUCUUGGUCCGACACUGACGCUGAGGCGCGAAAGCGUGGGGAGCAAACA